UCUUCUCUGCGGUGUUCGCCAGCUGCCGGGUAUUUUCUUGAGCCUGUUUUCUGCCCCGGGAUGGUUAAUUGGUUACUGUGUGCAUGUCUGCUCGUCAGAAAGCCUAAUGUUACCAAUCUCAAUCCCACUUGAACCACUGGGUUCAAGAACAAAGGACGCAGCGGCACCGUGGUAAGGCC
rnacentral:other from 1 species